rnacentral:rRNA from 1 species
UACGUAGGGUGCAAGCGUUAAUCGGAAUUACUGGGCGUAAAGCGUGCGCAGGCGGUUUUGUAAGUCAGAUGUGAAAUCCCCGGGCUUAACCUGGGAACUGCGUUUGAAACUACAAGGCUAGAGUGUGGCAGAGGGGGGUGGAAUUCCACGUGUAGCAGUGAAAUGCGUAGAGAUGUGGAGGAACACCGAUGGCGAAGGCAGCACCCUGGGUUAACACUGACGCUCAGGCACGAAAGCGUGGGGAGCAAACAGG